rnacentral:misc_RNA from 1 species
CAUUUGCAGUCUCCCAUAACUGCGUCGGGGGUUUUGGAGCUCCGGCCCAAGCCUUCGUCUAUACCCUUGUCUUUUGCGCACUUAUGUUUCCUCGGUGGGCUUGCCUGCCGAUAGGACACCCCAAAACUCUUUUUAAUUUUCAAUCAGCGUCUGAAAAAACCUAAUAAUUA